UACAGAGGUCUCAAGCGUUGUUCGGAUUCAUUGGGCGUAAAGGGUGUGUAGGUGGCGCCGUAAGUCGGGUGUGAAAUUUCGAAGCUUAACUCCGAAACUGCAUUCGAUACUGCGGUGCUUGAGGACUGGAGAGGAGACUGGAAUUCAUGGUGUAGCAGUGAAAUGCGUAGAGAUCAUGAGGAAGACCAGUGGCGAAGGCGGGUCUCUGGACAGUUCCUGACACUGAGGCACGAAGGUCAGGGGAGCAAACGGG
rnacentral:rRNA from 1 species